rnacentral:rRNA from 1 species
UACGAAGGGGGCUAGCGUUGCUCGGAAUCACUGGGCGUAAAGGGUGCGUAGGCGGGUCUUUUAAGUCAGGGGUGAAAUCCUGGAGCUCAACUCCAGAACUGCCUUUGAUACUGAAGAUCUUGAGUUCGGGAGAGGUGAGUGGAACUGCGAGUGUAGAGGUGAAAUUCGUAGAUAUUCGCAAGAACACCAGUGGCGAAGGCGGCUCACUGGCCCGGUACUGACGCUGAGGUGCGAAAGCGUGGGGAGCAAACAGGGAUUAAGAAAC